rnacentral:rRNA from 1 species
CCUACGGGUGGCAGCAGUGGGGAAUAUUGCACAAUGGGGGAAACCCUGAUGCAGCGACGCCGCGUGAGUGAAGACGUAUUUCGGGAUGUAAAGCUCUAUCAGCAGGGAAGAAGAAAGACGGUACCUGACUUAGAAGCCCCGGCUAAAUACGUGCGAGCAGCCGCGGUAAGACGUAGGGGGCAAGCGUUAUCCGGAUUUACUGGGUGUAACGGGAGUGUAGACGGCUGGGUAAGUCUGAAGUGAAAGUGCAGGGCUCAACCAUGGGACUGCUGUGGAAACUGUGAAGAUAGAGUGCAGGAGAGGUAAGUGGAAGUCGUGGUGUAGCGGUGAAAUGCGUAGAUAUUACGAAGAACACCAGUGGCGAAGGCGGCUUACUGAACAGUCACUGACGUUGAGGCUCGAAAGCGUGGGGAGCAAACAGGAUUAGAUACCCGAGUAGUC